CGAGUUAAUUAUUUGUGGGCUUUUAAUUACAUGAAUUCGUCUGAAAAAUAAACAAAAGCGGAGCCCGUAUGUCGACUUUUCUUCUUCAUAAAAAGCCGCCAUUGAUUAGUAGGGUUCAUCCUCUUCUGCAAACUGUGAUUAGGCAAACAAUAACGGAGGUUCUGAAAGGUUGUGUAAGACGUGUCUCCGUGAUGAAUCUCUGCAUUUAGCUUGGUUCGUGUUGUUUCGUUUGCGAUUCUUCUCAUCCAAGCCGUAACGUUUUACAUUGAUUCAACGCCAUUACCAAUCCCUAACGUGUUGCAUUGAUUCAAUGCCAUUAACGCCUUCUUAACUCUCUCAACUCACUACAACCACGAUCACUGAUUCUUAUCUCCUUCCAGAAAGUUUCGUAAAGUUAAAGAAACGAUGUAUCAUUGAGAAGUUCAGCCAAACGCUUUCGCCGCGGGCAUAGAUUUUAGGUGCUCCGUUUCAGUGGUAGAAAAGGAUCAGACUGUUGACGUUACUCCAAAACCAUAUCAUAUUGGUUUCCUUGACCCUGCAGUCUACAAACUGAUCCACCAUCCCUCUCGGUCUCUGCUAUUACUUCAGCCAUCAUAUAGGGGCUGACCUAUUGGCAUCAGAGGUCGACACUGAUAUCUUUGAUAUCAUAGUCACAAAGCUCCAGUUACAUGAAAUCGAUGACACCUCAGAAUCUUAUCUUCAUCUCCUGGCACCAAAAAGCUGAGAAACGCCAUAGUUUCAGUGGAAAUAGGUAACUCCAAAGUGGUAGAUGGAAUCAGUAAUGUUCUUUUGACAUGUUCAGCCUGUUCAUAUGUUCAGCUGUGUGUAUAGAGAAGACAGAUUACAGUGCAUCUUUAUGGUUGCUGCCUUUCUAUCUCUGUGAAGUUUCUUAGUAGAGAAGAAGACAGAGAGUGGAAAGAGCUUGACACAAUGAAGAUGAUAGUGCUCUCCUCCGUUUCCUGCAAUGCAAAUUUGGGAAAGGCCGAGAGAACGGUCCUGAAUUUUUCUAUGAUCCCACAUCAUGCGUUGCGCUUGUGUCUCAAGGAAAAGAGAAGUCGUGCCUGUGUCCAUAUAUACAGCAUGAUGUCUAUGCAUGAAGAGGCUGUAGCCCUUUCAGAUUGACCCAGAGCUUGCUAUUUCUGAAGCUGAUAAGGUUGAAGAUGAUGAAGACUUGAGAAAGAAGUUGUGGCUGAUGAUUGCAAAGCAUGUCGUCAAGCAGGAAAAAGGAGCCAAAAGGGAAACAUAAGGAAAGCUAUUGUAUUUCUCAAGGAAACGGAUGGUCUUCUAAAGAUUGAAGAUAUUUUGCCAUUCUUUCCCGACUUUACCUUAAUUGAUGAUGACUUUAAGGUUACACGUAAAAUAAGGUUUGUAAACGUAAAAUCUUAACGAUGACUGGGGAUUUCAGAAUGGCCCAGGGAUAUUUUUCAGCUGGAUCACUGGCUCCUUUCUAUGUAUUUUCCGUGUGGGCACUCUUUCCAUGCAAAGUGCCUGAUCACGCACGUCACAAGCUGUGCACACGAAGAGCAAGCCGAUAAAAUCCUUUCGGAUGAUAAAAUCUCAAGUGGCUAAGCCAAACAAUAUUGGACAGAACAACUUCAAGGUGAAAAAAUUGUUCGAACUAUCAACUAUUUCUAAAUUUAAGUUAGGAGAAAGCUCUCCUUCCGAAAAUAGAUAUUUCAAUUUUACAUUUAUUUCCCUUUCUUACUCAUAAGAUGAACUUAAUUAGAAUAAUAUUGGA